rnacentral:rRNA from 1 species
UUGGAGGGCAAGUCUGGUGCCAGCAGCCGCGGUAAUUCCAGCUCCAAUAGCGUAUAUUAAAGUUGUUGCAGUUAAAAAGCUCGUAGUUGAAUUUCGGGGUUUAUACGUUGGUCGGGCUUUUGGGUCUGUACUGGCGUAAUGAAUUCCUACCUUCUGAAUAACCAGCAUGUCAUUAAUUUGAUGCGCCGGGGAAGCAGGACUGUUACCUUGAAAAAAUUAGAGUGCUUAAAGCAGGCUAUUGCCUGAAUACAUUAGCAUGGAAUAAUGAAAAAGGACGGCAUGGUUCUAUUUUGUUGGUUUCUAGGAUCACCGUAAUGAUUAAUAGGGAUAGUUGGGGGCAUUAGUAUUCAAUUGUCAGAGGUGAAAUUCUUGGAUUUAUUGAAGACUAACUUCUGCGAAAGCAUUUGCCAAGGAUGUUUUCAUUAAUCAAGAACGAAAGUUAGGGGAUCGAAGGCGAUCAGAUACCGUCGUAGUCUUAACCAUAAACUAUGCCGACUAGGAAUCAGACGAUGUUAAUUUUUUAAUGACUCGUUCGGCGCCUUACGGGAAAC